rnacentral:lncRNA from 1 species
CAUCAUGACAAGUGUCAAAAAAUCCGCAAAAUUUAUAAAAAACUCGUUCACUUCGAGAGAAUAUUUGCGAAAAAGUGUUUCUUACCAAUUGUAUUCAUCGAAAUACUUUUUUAUCUUACACGAAGAGUACCAAAAUAUCUGAUGAAAAAGAUGAUCAAAGCGCUGGUAAUAUUCGGUGCUGGUCUCUACACAGGAGUCUAUGUGGCUCAAAACUAUAAGAUAGACAAGGUGGAAGAUCCAAAGGUUCUAUUUGAGAAGGCACAAAGUUUUGUGAAGAACAAACUUGCGGAGUUCAGUGAUGAUAGCAAGAAAGGUGAUAAAUAAUGACAAAGAAGUAUAACUUAAACAUGUUAUGAAAUCCAUAAGUCAUUCAAAUACUUUAUUGUAAAUAUA